rnacentral:rRNA from 1 species
CCGGGAAAACCUGUGCAUGAGUGGCGGACGGGUGAGUAACACGUAUCCAACCUGCCUCAUACUCGGGGAUAGCCUUUCGAAAGAAAGAUUAAUACCCGAUGUUAUAGUCCUACCGCAUGAUGGGAUUAUUAAAGAAUUUCGGUAUGGGAUGGGGAUGCGUUCCAUUAGUUAGUUGGCGGGGUAACGGCCCACCAAGACAACGAUGGAUAGGGGUUCUGAGAGGAAGGUCCCCCACAUUGGAACUGAGACACGGUCCAAACUCCUACGGAAGGCAGCAG